AAGAUGGCAUCAUGAGUUCACAUGUUCACAUGAUUAAAGGUAUUCCGGUAGACGAUGGGGAUGCGUUCCAUUAGAUAGUAGGCGGGGUAACGGCCCACCUAGUCUUCGAUGGAUAGGGGUUCUGAGAGGAAGGUCCCCCACAUUGGAACUGAGACACGGUCCUAACUCCUACGGGAGGCAGCAGUGAGGAAUAUUGGUCAAUGGGCGAGAGCCUGAACCAGCCAAGUAGCGUGAAGGAUGACUGCCCUAUGGGUUGUAAACUUCUUUUAUAAAGGAAUAAAGUCGGGUAUGCAUACCCGUUUGCAUGUACUUUAUGAAUAAGGAUCGGCUAACUCCGUGCCAGCAGCCGCGGUAAUACGGAGGAUCCGAGCGUUAUCCGGAUUUAUUGGGUUUAAAGGGAGCGUAGAUGGAUGUUUAAGUCAGUUGUGAAAGUUUGCGGCUCAACCGUAAAAUUGCAGUUGAUACUGGAUAUCUUGAGUGCCGUUGAGGCAGGCGGAAUUCGUGGUGUAGCGGUGAAAUGCUUAGAUAUCACGAAGAACUCC
rnacentral:rRNA from 1 species